rnacentral:rRNA from 1 species
UACGUAGGGUGCGAGCGUUAAUCGGAAUUACUGGGCGUAAAGCGUGCGCAGGCGGUUCGUGAUGUCUGAUGUGAAAGCCCCGGGCUCAACCUGGGAAUUGCAUUGGAAACUAGCGGGCUGGAGUGUGGCAGAGGGGGGUGGAAUUCCACGUGUAGCAGUGAAAUGCGUAGAGAUGCGGAGGAACACCGAUGGCGAAGGCAGCCCCCUGGGCUAACACUGACGCUCAGGCACGAAAGCGUGGGGAGCAAACAGG